rnacentral:rRNA from 1 species
UACGUAGGGUGCAAGCGUUGUCCGGAAUUAUUGGGCGUAAAGAGCUCGUAGGCGGUCUGUCGCGUCUGCUGUGAAAAUCCAGGGCUCAACCCUGGACCUGCAGUGGGUACGGGCAGACUAGAGUGCGGUAGGGGAGAUCGGAAUUCCUGGUGUAGCGGUGAAAUGCGCAGAUAUCAGGAGGAACACCGGUGGCGAAGGCGGAUCUCUGGACAGUUCCUGACACUGAGGCACGAAGGCCAGGGGAGCAAACGGG